rnacentral:rRNA from 1 species
AUUGAACGCUGGCGGCAGGCCUAACACAUGCAAGUCGAGCGGCAGCGGGACCUUCGGGUUGCCGGCGAGCGGCGGACGGGUGAGUAAUGCCUAGGAAUCUGCCUGUUAGAGGGGGAUAACGCGGGGAAACUCGCGCUAAUACCGCAUACGUCCUACGGGAGAAAGCGGGGGCUCUUCGGACACCGCCCUAACAGAUGAGCCUAGGUCGGAUUAGCUAGUUGGUGGGGGAAUGGCCCACCAAGGCGACGACCCGUAACUGGUCUGGGAGGAUGAUCAGACACACUGGAACUGGGACACGGGCCCGACUCCUACGGGAGGCGGCAGUAAGGAAUAUUGGACAAUGGACGCAAGUCUGAUCCAGCCAUGCCGCGUGAAGGAUUAAGGUCCUCUGGAUUGUAAACUUCUUUUAUAAGGGACGAAAAAAGGCUUUUCUAAGUCGUCUGACGGUACCUUAUGAAUAAGCACCGGCUAACUCCGUGCCAGCCGCCGCGGUAAAAC